rnacentral:rRNA from 1 species
AUUGAACGCUGGCGGCAGGCCUAACACAUGCAAGUCGAACGAGUGGCGGACGGGUGAGUAAUGUCUGGGAAACUGCCUGAUGGAGGGGGAUAACUACUGGCAACGGUAGCUAAUACCGCAUACCAUCAGAUGUGCCCAGAUGGGAUUAGCUUGUUGGUGGGGUAACGGCUCACCAAGGCGACGAUCCAUAGCUGGUCUGAGAGGAUGACAUGCCACACGGGAACUGAGACACGGUCCAGCCUCGUACGGUGGGCAGCAGGGGGGAAUAUUGCAAAAUGGGCGCAAUCCGGAUGAAUCCAUGCCGCGUGUAUGAAGAAGGACUUCGGGUUGUAAAGUACUUUCAGCGGGGAGGCGUGACCCGCAGAAGAAGCACCGGCUAACUCCGUGCCAGCAGCCGCGGUAAUAC